rnacentral:lncRNA from 1 species
GUCAGUCAUUGUUAGCAGAUAGUGCUGUCUUUUAGCUAAUGGGCUGAGUGAGUGAGAGGGCAGCAAGGCUUCAGAGGGAAGAGACAUAGGCAGAGCAGCAAUACUCAGGAAAGAAGUGGACAGAUGGCCGUAGCAGUGAUCAUCAUCACUUGUGCGGUUCUAUCAAUCUACCUAUGCAUUUCUACACCACCUCUCACCAGAGUGCUUGCCUCCUGUUCUCCCUAAGCAAUGAGGUUAAUAUUGAAGAACCGGGUACAUCCAUGGUGCUCGCAGCAUCCAGACGGAGAGGACACAACCCAUCUACGAAGCAUCAGCUUCCACAUCCUAACCACAUCCCUGUCCUUUAUUUCUUUCCCACAAUCCAUCAAUGCUGUACUUUUCCACCUUUGGCAUUAACAAGACGUCUUCUCCCACUUGAUAGAUUUCCCUCCUGUUUUCUAUAUAUUUCAGGAUCCACAUAACAUAUGGUCUCACAUGACUGGCUUUCCUAAG